rnacentral:other from 1 species
UAAUUUUGGUUAGAGAGUAAAUAAAUUUCCACAUCAUAGAUAAGGGAACCUGAUUUAAAUCACGGUGUUGAAAACCUAUCAUAGAAUAGGGAUCCUAAAGUGAAUUUAAAGGUACCCACCUGUAAUUAACAGGGAAAUAUCUAAAGCUCUCUACCUUUU